rnacentral:rRNA from 1 species
AACGCGAAGAACCUUACCAAGGUUUGACAUGCAGGGAAAAGCCGUAGAGAUACGGUGUCCGUAAGGGUCCUGCACAGGUGGUGCAUGGCUGUCGUCAGCUCGUGUCGUGAGAUGUUGGGUUAAGUCCCGCAACGAGCGCAACCCUCGUCCUAUGUUGCCAGCGGGUAAUGCCGGGGACUCAUGGGAGACUGCCGGGGUCAACUCGGAGGAAGGUGGGGAUGACGUCAAGUCAUCAUGCCCCUUAUGUCUUGGGCUGCAAACAUGCUACAAUGGCCGGUACAAAGGGCUGCGAGCUCGCGAGGGUAAGCGAAUCCCAUAAAGCCGGUCUCAGUUCGGAUCGGGGUCUGCAACUCGGCCCCGUGAAGCUGGAGUCGCUAGUAAUCGCGGAUCAGCAACGCCGCGGUGAAUACGUUCCCGGGCCUUGUACACACCGUAGAGAC